AAAAUGGAAGUGGAAGAAGAGGAGGAGCCAAACCACAAUAUUUAGGGCACUGUCCCCAAGAAACCGUCCAGUGCGCUCGCCUCAAUUCCCGGCCUCCCCUUCGCAGCUCCUCCACCCGCCUGAUUUGACGUCACAUAAAAUGACAAAUGUCCGCAGAAAACGACACGCCGAUUUAUUUGAAGUGAAGGACAGAGAUUAAAACGGCCUUGAAAAACACCACACCUGUUUUGUCCACCGCCAUCACCACCUUCUCCCAGAUCAAGGACAAACUGUAUUACAGACUCACAC